AGAAAUGUCGCCCUUUCUGCGCCAUCUAAGCUGUCUGGAUUUGCAAAUGUUCUAUGAUAUUAAAUUAUUUUCAUCUUAUAUUUUUUUCUUUGCAAUGCUGGGGGUUCAACCCAGGGCCUCAUGCAUGCUAUGCUAGGCAAGUGCUCCACUGCCAGCCAUAUCAUUAGCCCUCAUCUAUUUUUAUCUGCAUGUUAUUUAUUACCCAAUAUAUUAGGAUAAUGAGCCUAUGAGCAAAUAAAAUCUCAAUUCUCCACCUUGUGUCUCUUUUUUGAUGGGUUUUAAGUAGC
rnacentral:lncRNA from 1 species